UGGGGAAUAUUGGACAAUGGGCGAAAGCCUGAUCCAGCCAUGCCGCGUGUGUGAAGAAGGUCUUCGGAUUGUAAAGCACUUUAAGUUGGGAGGAAGGGCAGUAAGCGAAUACCUUGCUGUUUUGACGUUACCGACAGAAUAAGCACCGGCUAACUCUGUGCCAGCAGCCGCGGUAAUACAGAGGGUGCAAGCGUUAAUCGGAAUUACUGGGCGUAAAGCGUGCGUAGGCGGCUAAUUGAGUCGGAUGUGAAAUCCCCGAGCUUAACUUGGGAAUUGCAUUCGAUACUGGUUAGCUAGAGUGUGGGAGAGGAUGGUAGAAUUCCAGGUGUAGCGGUGAAAUGCGUAGAGAUCUGGAGGAAUACCGAUGGCGAAGGCAGCCAUCUGGCCUAACACUGACGCUGAGGUACGAAAGCGUGGGGAGCAAACAGG
rnacentral:rRNA from 1 species